rnacentral:rRNA from 1 species
UCUGGUUGAUCCUGCCAGUAGUCAUAUGCUUGUCUCAAAGAUUAAGCCAUGCAUGUCUAAGUACGGCUCUAGUACGGUGAAACUGCGAAUGGCUCAUUAAAUCAGUUUUGGUUCAUUUGAUCGUAAAAGUUUACAUGGAUAACUGUUGUAAUUCAAGAGCUAAUACACGCUAAAAGCGAGAGUCUUUGGUUCUCGUGCUUUUAUCAGAUUAAAAACCAAUCACCUUCGGGUGUGCGUUGUGAUGAUUCUGGAUAAUUUUAGCUGAUCGCAUGGUCUCGAACCGGCGAUGGAUCAUUCAAGUGUCUGACCUAUCAACUGUCGAUGGUAGUGUAUUGGUCUACCAUGGUUGUUACGGGUAACGGAGAAUUAGGGUUUGGUUCCGGAGAGGGAGCCUGAGAAACGGCUACCACAUCCAAGGAAGGCAGCAGGCGCGCAAAUUACCCAUUCCCGACUCGGGGAGGUAGUGACGAAAAAUAACAAUUCAAGACUCGAAACGAGGCCUUGAAGUUGGAAUGAGUACACUUUAAAAUUUUUAACGAGUAUCUAUUGGAGGGCAAGUCUGGUGCCAGCAGCCGCGGUAAUUCCAGCUCCAAUAGCGUAUACUAAAGUUGUUGCGGUUAAAAAGCUCGUAGUUGGAUCUUGGAAUGUGAACGCGAGGUCGCUUUACUGAGUGAACUUUGUGGCGCAUUCUUCCAUUUGGUCGGUGUGUUUGUGCUCUUAAUUGAGUGCAACAUGCUACCAGAAAUUUUACCUUGAAAAAAUUAGAGUGUUCAAAGCAGACCUUUUUGUGUCUGAAUAUUCGUGCAUGGAAUAAUAAAAUAUGAAUUCGGUUCUAUUUUAUUGGUUUUCGGAACUCGAGUUAAUGAUUAAGAGGGACAGACGGGGGCAUCCGUACUCUGCCGUUAGAGGUGAAAUUCUUGGAUCGGCGGAAGACGCGCAACUGCGAAAGCAUUUGCCAAGAAUGUUUUCUUUAAUCAAGAACGAUAGUCGGAGGUUCGAAGACGAUCAGAUACCGUCCUAGUUUCGACUGUAAACUAUGCCAGCUAACGAUCAGACAGCGUUCUCUACGACUUGUCUGGCAGUUUCCGGGAAACCAAAGCUUUUGGGUUCCGGGGGAAGUAUGGUUGCAAAGC